rnacentral:misc_RNA from 1 species
AGGAACAGGUUGGUGUGGUGCUGGGGCGGAUCAUUAUGAGCCUCUUAUUGCUUCUCCUUCAGCUUAUGUUUCGCAGGAAAAGGUAGCAUUGGUUCUGUAGGUAAUUAGUUGAGGUGGUUAAGAGAGGUGGUAGUUAGUUAUUUGGUUUUCAAUUGGAAAGAUGUUCCCGAUUCUUUUCUAGGUUUAAGGAGGAAGAUGUCCAAUUGGGACAUCAAAUUUUUGUUGAAGAGGGUAUGUAGGAUUUCGAAGUCCAUCAUCAGGCAUGCCUGCGUGGCCUGGCCUGGUUAUAUUUAGUUUUGUUGCCGGCUCGUUUUGUUGUGCAUUUUUUUGAGGCUAGUUGUAGUUUUGCUGCUGAGUGCUGUGGGGGUUCUAUUCUUUUGAGAGGUGUAGUACACUUAAUUUGUUGUAACUCAUGCUGAAUUCCAAUCUUAACAAGGAAAA